AUCUGUUGGUUCGUGAGCGUGAUGAUUGAGGGGGUGUUCAUGCCUUAUGCAUGAGAUGUCCCUCCCUCAAACCUUGUUAUGACGUGAGCACAUUACCCGUCUCACA